GGGGAUGAUCGGUUUCGACGACGGUCGUGGGUUCAGGGGAAGCGGGUCGAGGAUGCACAGUCAUCUCGUCAACGCUCUGUGCGAACCAAUAGGUGCCGAUAACACUCGCACCGACUUCACCCUCGCCGCCUGAGCGAGUCCUGAGGUCCGUCAGUCCGGGGAGCGCUCCCGCCCCGGUGCCUGGCGUCAUUGUGGGAGCCACUGCUAGGAAGCCGUGCCGGUAGGCUUCCUGGGACUCUUGACCGGCUGAGCCCGUCGGCGUCCUUGUCCGUGUGAGACGCCGGGGCUGAGAAAGUCAGAAACGGACUGCACCCGGAGAAGUCCUGUUGCACGCCCGUCGGACCGGGGUUCGAUUCCCCGCAUCUCCACCC
rnacentral:tmRNA from 1 species